rnacentral:rRNA from 1 species
UACAGAGGGUGCAAGCGUUAAUCGGAAUUACUGGGCGUAAAGCGCGCGUAGGCGGCUUUGUAAGUCGGAUGUGAAAUCCCCGGGCUUAACCUGGGAACUGCAUUCGAGACUGCAUGGCUAGAGUAUGGGAGAGGGAAGUGGAAUUUCAGGUGUAGCGGUGAAAUGCGUAGAUAUCUGAAGGAACAUCAGUGGCGAAAGCGACUUCCUGGACCAAUACUGACGCUCAUGUGCGAAAGCGUGGGGAGCAAACAGG